UAGAACGCUGGCGGCGUGCCUAACACAUGCAAKUCGAGCGGUUUUGCCUUCGGGCAAGGCAGCGGCGGACGGGUGAGUAACGCGUGAGGAAUCUGUCUAGGGCAGGGGGAUAACACCUGGAAACAGGAGCUAAUACCGCAUAAGACCACGGUACCGCAUGGUACAGGGGUAAAAGGAGCGAUCCGGCCCAUGGUGAUCUCGCGUCUGAUUAUGCUGGUUGGCGGGGUAACGGCCCACCAAGGCGACGAUCAGUAGCCGACCUGAGAGGGUGAUCGGCCACACUGGAACUGAGAAACGGUCCARACUCCUACGGGAGGCAGCAGUGGGGAAUAUUGGGCAGUGGGCGAAAGCCUGACCCAGCAACGCCGCGUGAGGGAAGAAGGUUUUCGGAUUGUAAACCUCUGUCCUUGGUGACGAAAAAAAUGACGGUAGCCAAGGAGGAAGCCCCGACUAACUACGUGCCAGCAGCCGCGGUAAUACGUAGGGGGCGAGCGUUGUCCGGAAUGACUGGGCGUAAAGGGCGCGUAGGCGGCCCUAAAAGUCUACCGUGAAAGUCCUGCUUUCAAAGUGGGAAUUGCGGAGGAAACUAUAGGGCUUGAGUGCGGAAGAGGUAAGUGGAAUUCCCAGUGUAGCGGUGAAAUGCGUAGAGAUUGGGAGGAACACCAGUGGCGAAGGCGACUUACUGGGCCGUAACUGACGCUGAGGCGCGAAAGCGUGGGGAGCGAACAGGAUUAGAUACCCUGGUAGUYCACGCGGUAAACGAUGAAUGCUAKGUGUAGGGGGUAUCGACCCCCCCUGUGCCGGAGCUAACGCMAUAAGCAUUCCGCCU
rnacentral:rRNA from 1 species